AUGGCAGCUCCGGCGGCGCAGCCGCCGCCAAAGACCGUCCUGCGGGUGGCGGCGAUCUCCGGCUCGCUGCGCAGGGCGUCGGCCAACACCGGCCUCAUCCGCGCCGCCGCGGAGAUCUGCGGGGAGUCCAUCCCGGGCCUGCACAUCGACCACGUCGACAUCUCGGAGCUGCCGCUGCUCAACACCGACCUCGAGGCCGGCGGCCGGUUCCCGCCGGCCGUCGAGGCGUUCCGCGACAAGGUCCGCGCGGCCGAUUGCUUCCUCUUCGCCUCGCCCGAGUACAACUACUCCAUUUCAGGGCCUCUGAAGAACGCGCUGGACUGGGGAUCACGGCCGCCCAACUGCUGGGCCGACCGAGCCGCGGCGAUGCUGAGCGCGUCGGGCGGCUCCGGCGGCAGCCGGUCGCAGUACCACAUCCGGCAGGUCGGGGUGUUUCUUGACAUCCACUUCAUCAACAGGCCGGAGGUCUUCACCAAGGCACACCUGCCCCCGAGAAAGUUCGACGCGGACGGCAACCUCAUCGACUCGGAGACCAAGGAGCAGACGAACGGUGGUGCUCUGCUCGUUAGAUGGACUGAGCAGAUCGUCACAAACUCCAAAUGCGAAAGCCAUAUACUGGUUGAUGCUCCAUGA
rnacentral:rRNA from 1 species